GUCCACGCCCUAACGAUGUCAACUGGUUGUUGGGUGGGUUUCUACUCAGUAACGUAGCUAACGCGUGAAGUUGACCGCCUGGGGAGUACGGCCGCAAGGUUGAAACUCAAAGGAAUUGACGGGACCCGCACAAGCGGUGGAUGAUGUGGUUUAAUUCGAUGCAACGCGAAACCUUACCUACCCUUGACAUGCCCCGGAAUCCCGCAGAGAUGCGGGAGUGCUCGAAAGAGAGCCGGGACACAGGUGCUGCAUGGCCGUCGU
rnacentral:rRNA from 1 species